CCUGCGCGCACCUCCCAAUCUCCCCCUCCCUGCGCGCACGCCUCCUCCCAAUCUCCUCCCCCUCCGCAGAGCCCAUCCCUCCCGCCGCCACCUCUCAGCAGCCUCCCCUCCUCUUGCUCCUUGCUCGGGAGGCCGGGUCCCGCUGCCGCUCGCUCGGGGACGCCUCGCCGCCGCUCGUCGUCGCAGAUCCGCCGCCCGCGCCCCGCGCGGGCUUUCGCCGCCUGUCCUCGAGAGCAGGGGAGGCCGGAGCUCGCCCGCGGCGGCGCUGCUCGCCCGCGGCGGCGCUGCUCGCCCGCGGCGGCCGCGGCGCGGUCUCCAGUCGCCGCGCCGUCCACGUGCCGCCGGCCCCCAUCCCCGGCCGCCGUCCGCGACGCCGCGACGUCCGCUCACCGCCACUGCGCCGUCCUCGGCAUCACUGUUCCGCGCCGCCGCUUCGUCCCCGGCGUCGGCGUCGUCGCUUCCUCCUCCGCGCCAUCCUCAAGGUACCAGCGGCGCCGCAACUUCGCAAAGGAGGAAGCCUGUGCCCCAGCCCCGAUUUGAUGGCCAGCAGCAACCUCCCGCGCCUGAUCAUCAAGGACACAGGAAGUUCACUCAAUUCUUUGCUUGCGUGGGAUGCACAGAUCAGGGAGGUGCUUCUCUAGCAGCUUAGCAUUUCGAUCUUUUGGCAUUUGUUUCAGUCUUUCAGUCUGUGAGUAUAGAUCAUGAGUAUAACAUGGCAUUCGUUACCCAAUCAUCCUACAAGCCUACACCAGUCCGCCCCUUCCGUUUUUUAUCUCCAACCCGUCAGGUAAUUAUUUCAUAAUUCACAGCUAUACUCACUCUUUUAAUCUUGAAAAUAUAUCACUCAAAUUGUGAAUUGUAAAAGUUCAAUUCUCUUAUGAUUGAAUAUCAAUGCUGACAUGGAUGAUUUUACAGAUGAUUAGAUAAUAUCAAUUGUACUAAUUUGUACCAUCAUAAAACCUGCAAGGACCUGCACCGUCAGAUACUACACCUAUUUGAUGCUUUUUUUUCUUUCUCAAUUAUUUUGCGCUGCCUAAUUUAUCCCUUUGUGUGAAACUUCCAUGGUGCAUGUGUUCAGGAGUGGACUUUUUAUUUGGCUUGAUUAUUUCUGAUAUCAAACUUUCGGAUGGUCGGUAGAUAUCAUUAACAUCCUUGCUAGAUUUAUGACUACUCGAGUAGUCAGAUAAUAAUUGGGCACAUCUCUAGGCGACCAUACUAACCUCUUACGCUGGGAUGAGAUAUUGGCGAGUGAGAUGGUUGCUCUAUGCCGCUGUACUCCAAGGAAGAAGCAGGUGGUACUCCAUAUUUCUCCAAUUUUUUUUCCUUUUCAAUUUCACUUCAUCCCCGAACAGCAAUGGCUUCUUCUCCUGUCUGUGCAUGGCUUUUAAUACUUUUUUCUGCUUUGGAUGAGCACUCUAGAUAUGACAAGGUCCCUAACUAUGAAAUGGUUUAGUGAGUAAAAAGGAAUCUGCAAAUUCUUUUACAUAUUAGUUUACGAUAGGUAUCUACAGGAGAAAAUAAAUAUAUUCAGGGGAUGACAGUGCGAUGGAUAAAUGCCUUGUUUCUCGAUGUGGCCCCUACUUGCUCAGCAAGGGGAUCAAUGGAGUGGCACAAUCCUGGGCAUGGUCUACACCAGGAUAUAGUGUGUAAGUCUACACCAGGAAUCUGGCAUGGUCAUGAUAACCUUUUAGAGUUAUUCAUGAUAUCUGAACUGCCGCAUGUUGCAACAUAAUGUUCUAUAUUGAUGUCAGCCUAAUGUCACAAGAUGAUGAUAACAUGUAAGCAUGUUUGUAGUGGUUAUACCUUCUAAUAAUUUAAUUAUCUCAUAUAGUGGUUUAUAGAUCCUAAUAACUUAAUUACCUCACGUGUAAAGCUCUGAAAUUUCUAAUCUCUGAACCUAGAAGAGAACAAUAUCAGAUUUUGCAGUAAAUGUGAAUCCCUGAACCUAGCAGAACUCUAGAUGUCUUAUGAAGUGAUCAAUUUUUCUGGCUUUUGCUUCCAGCUUUAGUGAUCAUAUUAGAGCCUGUUACCUUUGCAUUUUCCUCAUUGAUUCAACCUUCCAGGUUCCAGCAUAGUAAGUAUCAGAUAUCACCUUCCUAUGACUAUGGAUAAAAGUUUCAACUAGCUGUGCAAAUUUUCAUGAAAACAAACUUAUGUAAUUUAUGAUUUUUGUUGCCCAUAGCAAACUUUUCUGCGUUGAAGGAUUUCUGGUCUCAUAUCUGUCUAUACUAUAUUUCCAAGACCACCUUCAAAAAUUUUGCAUGUACAAGUAUAAUACUUUUAACAUUAAAACUUUUAGCACUAUCAUGACAUCUUGCCAUUCAAAGCUAAAAAAGGCAUAUUUAAGGUAUGUUGCAUAGCUAUGCGUAUAUAGUUCACAUCUUUCUUGUGCCACGUAUUGUUGCAACUAUUCGCCAUAUUUUCAGAAUCUACACGGUACAUUGUUGUCCUAGCUUUACCACUUUCUGUAGAUUGCAUAGCUAACUUGGCCAUAUUCUUUGUAGGCAGAUAUAUCUGCAUUCACCACCACCAUUGCCUAGAUUGGCAGGAGGAUGCUGAAACCACGUGACCAGCGAUCAAGUUAAAUGCGGCGACCACCAUGGUCUUGCGCACCCUAAGUCAGCUGUUCUUUCUAUGUUUCCACAUUAGAAGUAGGUGCAUGAAAAUGGUUUCAGUUUUUGUAACUUAAUCGAAUAAUCUAUAAUUUUUAAUAUCUCAUGAUCAAUAUCUAUUGCAUAUAUGCCUAAUUGGCUUAUUCGUAUCCGCUUCACAUCUCCUUUAGUAGUGGCUGUAAUUGACCAUGGUGCUUAAUUUAUUUGCAAUCAUUUUCGGUGUUUAUUAUAUAUAUGCUAUACUUUGUUGUAUUGGCAGUAUCCGCCUGUAUGCAUGGCCCCAAUGCUUAGUGCUACAAGUCUUAAGACCUUAUAUUUUUAUUAAACUUUUGCAGAUAGCAACAGUGGCUGUAUUUUUAGAGGGGGUUGAGUUGGAGACGACCGUUGCCCAAGACUUGUCUCAAUUAUAUCGAGAAGAUGGCAGUUACUUUCAAAUGCCUAACUGCUAGACCAUGCUGAGAAGAAUCCUAUUAAUGUGGUGCCUUCAACACCUAGAGUUUGGAUAUCGCCAAGGUAAGUAACUUGUGCGACCUAGAUUGCACUGCAAGGGUUCUUAGCUUUAGCAGCUCAUGGCGCACAAUGCGUCAAAUAUUUGUUGGCCCCUUUAGAAAUAUUUGUUUUGAAGAAAUUCUUAUGUGUGACGAAUUGCAGUUUUUCUUGGAUAAUGCUAUGGUAAGUAAUUUAAUAAUUAGAGAAUUGGUUCCACAUAUGGCGUUCACUGUAUGUCUUUUCCUCCUGUUUCAAUCAGAUUUGUAGAGCACCACUGAGGUGAUUGAAAAAAGAAAGAAACAUUGGGGGCAAGGUAAAUCACAUAAUCAAGCUAACUGUGAUUUUCUGGAGCUCUUCUUUGUUUUCUUCUUUUCUAUUUCGACCAUUGUCUUGUAGCAGCAUGAAGAUCAAGAUCGACGGCAAACUGUAAGAUAGAAGAAUCACAAGAUGAUGUCAUAUUAAUUAGUUAUCUACACAAGGAUUGCCUAUUUAAAAGGUCUUAAAAUAGGUUCUCUUUGCCUGUGUGCUUAUUCUUAGAAAUACUGCUCAUUUUUCAUGGAUAGAUUCCACUUCUUCUGUAAUGUCGAAUUGAAAAUAACUUCAUGUGUAUGUCAGCUUGUUGCUUGUCCAAGGAGCUUGUGACAUGCAGCUACUACAACUUGAUUCAAUAACACAAUGCUAUAUGCUUCCUUUUUCCAUUUAAGCUACUGAAGAUGGCAUUGUUGCCUCUGUUUCAGGGCCUCGAUCACUCUGCAUUGAAUGGAAACAGAGCUGUUUAUUUUCCCUUAUCACAACUAUAUAGAGUCUCCAUUUCUUGAAACAAUAGUAGUUAGUUUAUUUGGCCUUAAAUAACUGGAGUUAUUUUGAAGCAUGGUAGGAUAGUAAAAGUUGUUAUUACAGCUUGCCUGCACAGUAUUAACAAUGUUCCCCUGCUGCAUGUAUGGUUAAUAGAGUGAGCCACAUGAUCAACUAGACAGUUUUGCUAUGAUAUUAAUAAAAAAAUUAAUUUUUAGCUGUCGUUUGAUGCAAUCCAAUUAUUUUUAAAUAGCAUCUCGACUAGCCAUCUUCUGCAGUAAUUUGAUGGGGUUUAUUUCUGUCAUUCUCAUGGACAUGUGGGAUGGCAAACAAUUUCAUCAACUGCUACGUGUGGAUGCGAGAGUUCUAAGGAAGUGGUUGGUCAUAGAUCUACUGAAGUGGUUAUGGAAUGAGAGCAAUGAUAACAUUCCUGAAGAUAUAGCUGGAGCUCUAAAGACUAUAUGUAACACUUGCGUGGAGAAAUAUAUCUAGAUAAAUUAAUCACAUUCCAUGGCUGAUCUGAGCAAGAAAUAUGGAUAGAUUUGUACAUUUUUUAAGUCUUGCAUGCUGGUGUUGGUCAUAUUUUAAAUUCUCAUAUCAAUCAAUAAUCAACAAUAAUGGAUUGAGACAAGUUCUUAUGCUACA